GGCAAGAUGGCCGAGCGGUUAAGGCGUGUGACUCAAGCGAUUAGCUUGCUCGAAAUCCGAGUUCUCAUCACAGUAAUGUGGCGUGGGUUCAAGUCCCACUCUUGUCA